GGCUGGGGUCAGCAGCUGCACAGAAUACCUACAGCAGACAGCACAGCGUGAGCAUGGGGCCACUGCAGGGAGCCCAAAGUCAGAAGGCGAGCAUGGACACUGCUGGCAUGGCUGCAGCCAUCUAACUGCAAGGAGCCCAAGGAACAAGAGCAACAUACUCAAGGGACACAAGGAGGGCUCAGGGUCUGAAGACCUAUCGUCUAUCUUCUCCAGUCACUGCCUUUGAACCCUGGCAGAACAGCCUGGAGAACACAGCACUAAUCCACUAGGCUGCUGCCACCAGAUACCUGGAAUACACCCAGGGUAAGGGUGAUGGGGACAGGCCCUGCUCUACUGGGAAACUGGAAGAGAAUGGUGAACUCUACUAGGGGCUUGCUGAAGACUGGGUUCUAACUCAUUUCUAGAUUCUUAGCACUCUAAACUUAAUGCCUGGAAAAGGCCCUUGGCACAGCAUAAGGGCUCCAGCAGGCUGCUACCUGGUGUACACACCUCAGUGUGGUCUUGGUGCCAAUCUCCCCCAGGUGGUUAAGCGCCUCCUCGCUGAUGUUGAUGCCUUCCGUCUGGGCUCGGAUCUUAAUGAUCUUUGGAGAAAAAAAAAACAAUCGUUAAGUGUCUCAA